rnacentral:pre_miRNA from 1 species
ACCACAUUCGGACCGUCGGUCUACUGAGCAAUAUCACCCGCUCUGUGGAAGACCAUCCCACCAUUGU